AGAAAUCGAAGAGGCACCUACUUUUCCAGCCUUGUCAGCACCUGUCACACGCACACUCAGUUUUGCGGAAAUUAUGGGCAUUCUGUCAAAGACUUCUGGGGAAGUAGAAAACACAUGAAUCUUACUGUUCAAUCACCCACUUCCCACACGCAACAAUAGCUCAUGGGUACCACAAAUAACUUUGCCAAAGUUCUCUGCCAAAGUUGAGCACGUGAAGCUUGCAGCUCCCACUACAUCGCUCUGACCAAGAAGGGUAAAAGAAUAGCAAAGAAACAGCACUAACAAAGUUUAGACCCAUAAAUUUUGAAGGUCUAGCUACCAUAUUAUUACCCACAAGGGUAAAGGAACAGUACCACUGCUGGAUAAUUGGAAAGUCCCUGUGUGUCAACCUCUGUGCUUCGUGGCAAGGUAGACUAGCAAACAUGCCCAACCUUUACUCACAUUCGAGAAAACACUCCCAAUAAGAUUGCUUGCUCCAAAAUCGAAGAGGCACCGUCCUCCGAAUCUCGAGAGCCAGACUCCCAACAUGACUACUUUCUUAAAAAUCGAAGAGAGGGUAAAGGAACAGUACCAUUGCUGGAUAAUUGGAAAGUCCCUGUGUGUCAACCUCUGUGCUUCGUGGCAAGGUAGACUAGCAAACAUGCCCAACCUUUACUCACAUUCGAGAAAACACUCCCAACAAGAUUGCUUGCUCCAAAAUCGAAGAGGCACCGCCCUCCGAAUCUCGAGAGCCAGACUCCCAACAUGAUUACUUUCUCAAAAAUCGAAGAGACACUGCUCCCCGAAUCUCGAGAGCCAGACCCCCAGCAUGAUUGCUUUUUCAAAAAUCGAUGAGGCAUCGUUCUCCGAAUCAAUCGAAGAGGCGCUCGCUUUCUCAAAAGCUGGGCUGCUCAGAGACCACGAGGGCCGAUCUCAGAAAUCGAAGAGGCACCUACUUUUCUAGCCUUGUCAGCACCUGUCACACGCACACUCAGCUUUGCAGAAAUUAUGGGCAUUCUGUCGAAGACUUCUGGUGAAGUAGAAAGCACAUGAAUCUUACUGUUCAAUCACCCACUUCCCACACGCAACAAUAGCUCAUGGGUACCACAAAUAACUUUGCCAAAGUUCUCUGCCAAAGUUGAGCACGUGAAGCUUGCAGCUCCCACUACAUCGCUCUGACCAAGAAAGGUAAAAGAAUAGCAAAGAAACAGCACUAACAAAAGUUUAGACACAUAAAUUUUGAAGGUCUAGCUACCAUAUUAUUACCCACAACUGUAAAGGAACAGUACCACUGCUGGAUAAUUGGAAAGUCCCUGUGUGUCAACCUCUGUGCUUCGUGGCAAGGUAGACUAGCAAACAUGCCCUAAC
rnacentral:lncRNA from 1 species